rnacentral:rRNA from 1 species
AUUGAACGCUGGCGGCAGGCCUAACACAUGCAAGUCGAGCGGAGCGGCGGACGGGUGCGUAAUGCCUAGGAAUCUGCCUGGUAGUGGCGGAUAACGUCCGGUAACGGGCGCUUAUACCGCAUUCUAUCAGAUCUGCCUAGGUCGUCUUGGCUAGUUGGUGGGGUAAAGGCCUACCAAGGCGACGAUCCGUAACUAGUCUGAGGGGAUGAUCAGUCACACUGGAACUGAGACACGGUCCAGACUCCUACGGGAGGCAGCAGUGGGGAAAAUUGGACAAUGGGCGAAAGCCUGAACCAGCCAUGCCGCGUGUGUGAAGAAGGUCUUCGGAUUGUAAAGCACUUUAAGUUGGGAGGCGGUACCAAAAGAAUAAGCACCGGCUAACUUCGUGCCAGCAGCCGCGGUAAUAA